AGGAGGUGCCACGAUUCGGGGACCCCGAGAAGGUGAAGCUGGAGGAGUCGCUGCGCGAGGCCGAGCGGGAAGGGGAGGGGGCCCCGCUCAGCGUCCGCAUCAGCAACGUCUGACCGGGGGGAACGGGAGAGGAGGGGGCACCCGGGGAGGGAGGGGGCACCCAGGGAUGGAGGUGGCACCGAGGGAUGGAGGUGACACUGAUGGAUGGAAGGGACACCGAUAGAUGGAGGUGGCACUGACAGAUGGAGGUGGCACCGACCCAUGGAGGUGGCACUGAUGGAUGGAGGUGGCACCGAGAGAUGGAGGUGACACCGGUCCUGGGGUGGCACCAAGGGCUGGAGGUGACACCGAUGGAUGGAGGGGGCACUGAGGGAUGGAGGAGACACUGAUGGAUGGAGGUGACACCAGGAACUGGAGAUGACACUGACAGCUGGAGCUGUCACCAAGGACUGGAGGUUCCACCAGCCCCAAGGUGACACCGACAUCUGGAGGUGUCACCAGUCUGGAGGUGCCACCAAUGUCUGGAGGUGGCACCAACCUGGAGAUGCCACCAGCCUUGGAGUUAUCCCCAGUGCCUGGAGGUGUCACCAAUGUCUGGAGGUGCUACCAAUGCCUGGAGGUGUCACCAGCUCGGUGUCACCAACGUUUGAAAGUGCCACGAGCCCCUGGAGGUGACACCAAUGCCUGGAGGUGUCACCAGCCCCCGGAGAUGUCACCAGCCUCAGAGGUGCCACCAACACCUGGAACUGCCACCAGGCCCUGGAGGCGUCACCAACACUUGAAGUUGCCACCAACACUGGAGGUGCCACCAGCCUUGGAGGUGUCACCAGCCCUGGAGGUGCCACAAGUCCCCUGAGGUGGCAUCAAUUUCAAGGUGCCACCAACACCUGGAAGUGCCACCAGCUCGGAGGUGCCACCAGUCCUUGGAGGUGCCACCAGUCCUUGGAGGUGCCACCAGUGCCUGAAAGUGCCACCAAGGCCUGGAAGUGCCACCAAGGCCCCCAAGGUGUCACCAGCUGCAAGAGGCCAUCAAGGCCUGGAAGUGCCACCAAGGCCUAGAGGUGCCACCAGCCCCAAGAUGCCACCAGUGCCCCGAGGUGCCACCAGCUCCAAGGUGUCACCAGCUGCAAGGUGUCCCCAACCCCAAAGUGCCACCAGUGUCUGGAAGUGCCACCAGUGCCUGGAGGUGCCACCAAGGCCUGGAGGUGCCACCAGCCCCAAGAUGCCACCAGUGCCUCAAGGUGUCACCAGCUCCAAGGUGUCCCCAACCCCUGGAGGUGUCCCGAUCCCAGGGGGGCCAUAGGACCCCCCCCUCCUUCCAGAGGGGAAAUCGAGGCAGGAG